UCGCCUUUAGUAUAAUGGUAGUAUUCCCGAUUUCGGCUCGGCUAGUGAGGGUUCGAAUCCUUCAGGGCGAU
rfam:Cryptococcus amylolentus CBS 6039 supercont1.15, whole genome shotgun sequence.